GACCUUUUUUAUUAGUGUGCUUUUGGAUUCUAAUUCUGCUAUGUUUAAAUGGAUAUGUAUAUUAUGUGUAAGGAUUUGAAUGUAGUUUUAAUUUGAACUAGAAGUACUUUUAAUUUUAAGAUUCUAAGUUGUUUGAAUGGACAAUGUUUAAGUGUUCAAGUGUUCGAACAUUGUUUAUGGUUGUU